rnacentral:rRNA from 1 species
UACAGAGGUCUCAAGCGUUGUUCGGAUUCAUUGGGCGUAAAGGGUGCGUAGGCGGCGCGGUAAGUCGGGUGUGAAACCUCCAGGCUCAACCUGGAGACGCCACCUGAUACUGCUGUGGCUAGAGUCCGGUAGGGGAGCGUGGAAUUCCUGGUGUAGCGGUGAAAUGCGCAGAUAUCAGGAGGAACACCAGCGGCGAAAAGCGGCGCACUGGACCACAACUGACGCUGAGGCGCGAAAGCUAGGGGAGCAAACAGG